UUUAAGUGUUAAUUGAAUUUACCUGGGUAAUAUUAGUUAAGGUCUUUAAACCCAAAGAAUUUGGCGGUAUCUCAUUCCAUUCAGAGGAACCUACCCCGUAAUUGAUAAUACACGAUUAACUUAACUUAAUUUAUUUGCUUGUAUAUCUCCGUUAUCAGAAAAUCUUUUUAGAGUUAUAAUUUUCUUAAUUUAUAAUUAUAAAAUAUUUCAGGUCAAGGUGCAGUUUAUAAUUAAGAGGUGGUGGGUUACAAUAAAUUUUUGUUUACAACGAAUUUUAUAUUGAAAUAUUAUAGAUGAAGGUGGAUUUGAUGGUAAUUUAAUUUAUUUAAUUUAUUUGAUAUUGGCUCUGAGAUGUGC
rnacentral:rRNA from 1 species